rnacentral:sRNA from 1 species
CAAUCCCUUUUCCUCUCCAAACACUUGACCUCACCCGUCACUCGAUCUCGCCCCUCCGGCUUCGUCUCUCUCCUUCACUAGACGACGGUACUCGAUUUCGCCAUUUCUUCCUUCUCACCACUCGACGGUUACUCGACCGCUCCGCCCUUCACUUCGCCGGAAGCUUCACCGCCUCACCGUCGCCUCCUUACCACUCGACCGCAACUCGACCUCUCCGUGCUUCAUCUUCAUCUUCAUUUACUCGACUUCGCCGGAGCUUCUCGCCGUUCCAGCUUCGCAUACUCUCUCACCGUCUCUCGUUUCACUCGACCACUUCACACUUUGCCUCAACAUCUUCGCCGGAGUUUCUCGCCAUUGUCCGUGCUUCUGUCAUCUCCGUUCACUCGACCACCGGACCGGCUUCACCAUCUCUCAACUAUCCACCAUUCACUCGACCUCGCCAUUCACUGCGCCUCCAUUCGUCUCUUUACUCGACUGCUCCUCAAACCC